rnacentral:rRNA from 1 species
UGCGGAAGGAUCAUUAAAGAGUAAGGGUGCUCAGCGCCCGACCUCCAACCCUUUGUUGUUAAAACUACCUUGUUGCUUUGGCGGGACCGCUCGGUCUCGAGCCGCUGGGGAUUCGUCCCAGGCGAGCGCCCGCCAGAGUUAAACCAAACUCUUGUUAUUUAACCGGUCGUCUGAGUUAAAAUUUUGAAUAAAUCAAAACUUUCAACAACGGAUCUCUUGGUUCUCGCAUCGAUGAAGAACGCAGCGAAAUGCGAUAAGUAAUGUGAAUUGCAGAAUUCAGUGAAUCAUCGAAUCUUUGAACGCACAUUGCGCCCCUUGGUAUUCCGAGGGGCAUGCCUGUUCGAGCGUCAUUACACCACUCAAGCUAUGCUUGGUAUUGGGUGCCGUCCUUAGUUGGGCGCGCCUUAAAGACCUCGGCGAGGCCUCACCGGCUUUAGGCGUAGUAGAAUUUAUUCGAACGUCUGUCAAAGGAGAGGACUUCUGCCGACUGAAACCUUUUAUUUUUCUAGGUUGACCUCGGAUCAGGUAGGGAUACCCGCUGAACUUAAGCAUA